GCUUGGGUGGCUCAGUCAGUUGAGCAUCUGACUUUGGCUCAGGUCAUAAUUUCACAGUUUGUGGGUUUGAGCCCCACAUCAGGCU
rnacentral:tRNA from 1 species